rnacentral:rRNA from 1 species
GCUUAACACAUGCAAGUCGAGGGGCAGCAUAAGAGUAUCAAUACUUUGGUGGCGACCGGCGCACGGGUGAGUAACGCGUAUGCAACCUACCCAUAACUGAGGAAUAACCCGUCGAAAGUCGGACUAAUACCUCAUAAUAAUUAUUGUUCGCAUGGAUGAUAAUUUAAAGAUUUAUCGGUUGAAGAUGGGCAUGCGUUCCAUUAGCUUGUUGGUGAGGUAACGGCUCACCAAGGCUACGAUGGAUAGGGGAACUGAGAGGUUUAUCCCCCACACUGGAACUGAGACACGGUCCAGACUCCUACGGGAGGCAGCAGUGAGGAAUAUUGGUCAAUGGAGGCAACUCUGAACCAGCCAAGUCGCGUGAAGGAUGAAGGUCUUAUGGAUUGUAAACUUCUUUUGCAAGGGAAUAAAGUGGGGGACGUGUCCUCCUUUGCAUGUACCUUGCGAAUAAGGAUCGGCUAACUCCGUGCCAGCAGCCGCGGUAAUACGGAGGAUCCGAGCGUUAUCCGGAUUUAUUGGGUUUAAAGGGUGCGCAGGCGGGAUGUUAAGUCGGCGGUGAAAUUUUGCAGCUCAACUGUAAAAGUGCCUUCGAUACUGGCUUUCUUGAGUGUGGAUGAAGUAGGCGGAAUUUGUGGUGUAGCGGUGAAAUGCUUAGAUAUCACGAGGAACUCCGAUUGCGCAGGCAGCUUACUAAACCACUACUGACGCUCAUGCACGAAGGCGUGGGGAUCAAACAGGAUUAGAUACCUUGGUAGUCCACACUGUAAACGAUGAUAACUCGCUGUCGGCGAUACACAGUCGGUGGCCAAGCGAAAGCAUUAAGUUAUCCACCUGGGGAGUACGACCGCAAGGUUGAAACUCAAAGGAAUUGACGGGGGCCCGCACAAGCGGAGGAACAUGUGGUUUAAUUCGAUGAUACGCGAGGAACCUUACCCGGGCUCGAACGGUGCAUGAAUAUACGAGAGAUUGUAUAGUCCUUCGGGACAUGUAUCGAGGUGCUGCAUGGUUGUCGUCAGCUCGUGCCGUGAGGUGUCGGCUUAAGUGCCAUAACGAGCGCAACCCUUGUCAUUAGUUGCCAUCAGGUCAAGCUGGGGACUUUAAUGAGACUGCCACCGUAAGGUGUGAGGAAGGGGGGGAUGACGUCAAAUCAGCACGGCCCUUAUGUCCGGGGCGACACACGUGUUACAAUGGGAGGUACAGAGGGCAGCUAUCCGGUGACGGAAUGCUAAUCUCCAAAACCUUUCUCAGUUCGGAUUGGAGUCUGCAACUCGACUCCAUGAAGGUGGAUUCGCUAGUAAUCGCGCAUCAGCCAUGGCGCGGUGAAUACGUUCCCGGGCCUUGCACUCACCGCCCGUCA